rnacentral:rRNA from 1 species
GACGAACGCUGGCGGCGUGCUUAACACAUGCAAGUCGAACGGUGAAGCGCCUUCCUUUUUGGUGGGUGUGGAUGAGUGGCGAACGGGUGAGUAACACGUGAGUAACCUGCCCCCUUCUUCUGGAUAACCGCAUGAAAGUGUGGCUAAUACGGGAUAUUCUGGGUCUGUCGCAUGAUGGGUCUGGGAAAGAUAUUGUUUCGGUGGGGGAUGGGCUCGCGGCCUAUCAGCUUGUUGGUGGGGUGAUGGCCUACCAAGGCGGUGACGGGUAGCCGGCCUGAGAGGGUGGACGGUCACACUGGGACUGAGACACGGCCCAGACUCCUACGGGAGGCAGCAGUGGGGAAUAUUGCACAAUGGGCGCAAGCCUGAUGCAGCGACGCCGCGUGAGGGAUGGAGGCCUUCGGGUUGUGAACCUCUUUCGCCAGUGAAGCAGGCCUGCCUCGUUUGUGGGUGGGUUGACGGUAGCUGGAUAAGAAGCGCCGGUUAACUACGUG